AUAGCUCAGUGGUAGAGCACAUGCUUAGCACGCACGAGGUCCUGGGUUCGAUCCCUAGU
rnacentral:tRNA from 1 species